CAUGGCCAAGACCAAAAAAGCUGUUGAAGGACACCAGGAGGAAAAUUGUAGACCUGCACCAGGCUGGGAAGAGUGAAUCUACAAUAGGCAAGCAGGCCCCAUGCAAGAUCUCGUGGGGUCAAAAUGAUCAUGACAACUGUGAGCAAAAAACCCAGAAUUACGUGGAGGGACCUGAAGAAUGACCCGCAGAGAGCUGUAACAAAGGUUACCAUCAGUAACACACUGCGCCAAGAGGGACUCAAAUCCUGCAGUGCCAGCCGUGUCCCCAUGCUUAAACCAGUACAAGUCCAGGCCCGUCUGAAGUUUGCCAGAGAGCAUAUGGAUGAUCCAGAAGAAGAUUGGGAGAAUAUCAUGUGGUCAGAUGAAACCAAACAGAACUUUUAGGAAGAAAAAUGCUAAGUUGCAACCCACGAAGACCAUACCUACUGUGAAGAAUGGGGAUGGUAACAUCAUGCUUUGGGGCUGUUUUUCUGCUGAUUCAUGUAUAGGGAAGAACAAACGGGGCAAGGUAUUGUGAGAUUUUAAGCCAAAACCUCCUUCCAUCAGUGAGAGCAUUGAAGAUGGAACAUGGCUGUGUCUUCCAGCAUGACAAUGAUCCCAAACACAUCGCUUGGGCAAUGAAGGAGUGGCUUCGUAAAAAGCCUGGAGUGGCCUAGCCAGUCUCCAUACCUCAACCUCAUGGACGAUUUGUGGAGGGAGUAGAAAGUCCGUGUUGCGACGUCCCCAAAACAUCACUGCUCUAGAGGAGAUCUGCAUGGAGGAAUGGGCCAAAAUAUCAGCUACAGUGUGUGCAAACCCGAUGAAGACAUACAGGAAAGUUUGACCUCUGUCAUUGCCAACAAAGUUUAUGCUACAAAGUAUUGAGGUAAACUGUUGUUAUUGACCAAAUACUUAUUUUCCCCCAUAAUUUACAUAAAAAUUCUUUAUCAAUCAUACAAUGUGAUUUCCUGGAUUUUUUUUUUCUCAGUUUGUCUCUCAUAGUUUAGUGUACUUAAGAUGAAAAUUACAGACCUCUGUCAUCUUUCUGAGUAGGAGAACUUGCACAAUCAGCGGCUGACUAAAUACUUUUAUUUAAAUGGGGUUUAUUUGUAGCAAUACAAUAUAACAUUCAGCAGUAUUUGUUUCUAGUCUGUAAUUCAUGCAAACAUUUAUAUUCAAGUAACGUUAGCCUCAUAGCAUAAUUGCCUAAAUAUGUUUUAUUCUAAUUUAUUAAGAUGCACCUGUAUGUAUAAUUUUGUUUAAAAUUUUUUACUUUCACCACCACUCCUUGUUUUUGCUAAUUUCCCAUUUUUUUAGGCAUUGCUGGUUCUGUUUUCAUUUGUCCUCCAAUGACCCCAUUUGUAAAAAAAAAAAAAAAAAAUGCUAAACAUAUUUUUUUA